AUGCUAGUCAAGUUGACACAAAGACUCAACUUUAUGAAGCCAAUAAAUCACAGUUUUGGUGGCAGCAUGGAGAGAGACGAAGGUUCCGAUGAGAACCUUAGCCACACAGUCUAGGCCACAAGGAAGUGUGUGUUCCAGCCAUCCUGGGUGUGGUACACACAUGCACACUCAUGCACACAUACUCAUGCACAAACACACACACACACAUGCAGGCACAUGCACAUGAAUUACAUUAACCUUGAAAGCUCUGCAAGCUUUGAGCAAGAAUGCUCCCCUUCAUGUUACUGAGUACCAGAUAUUUGUGAUGGAUGAACGGUCCAAGGUACACAGGAAUGGACGAACUGACUGGUGGAUAUUAGCUGGAUCAACAGGCAUUUCUUCAGGAGAGUAAGCAUCUCUACAAGAUGUUGACUGAACUCCGUUGAGCCUGCCGAUAUUGCCUGCAUGCACAGAGAAGUAACUAUUCUUUCUGGA